rnacentral:rRNA from 1 species
UUGGAGGGCAAGUCUGGUGCCAGCAGCCGCGGUAAUUCCAGCUCCAAUAGCGUAUAUUAAAGUUGUUGCAGUUAAAAAGCUCGUAGUUGAAUUUCGGGACCAAUUUGUUGGUCGUGCCUCGGUACGUACUGGUAUUAUUGGUUUCUACCUUCUGAAGAACCUUGAUGUCAUUAAUUUGGUGUCUUGGGGAAUCAGGACUGUUACUUUGAAAAAAUUAGAGUGUUUAAAGCAAGCAUACGCUUGAAUACAUUAGCAUGGAAUAAUGAAAUAGGACGUUUGAUUCUAUUUUGUUGGUUUCUAGGAUCGACGUAAUGAUUAAUAGGGAUAGUUGGGGGCAUUAGUAUUCAAUUGUCAGAGGUGAAAUUCUUGGAUUUAUUGAAGACUAACUACUGCGAAAGCAUUUGCCAAGGAUGUUUUCAUUAAUCAAGAACGAAAGUUAGGGGAUCGAAGACGAUCAGAUACCGUCGUAGUCUUAACCAUAAACUAUGCCGACUAGGGAUCGGAUGAUGUUAUUUUUAAUGACUCAUUCGGCGCCUUACGGGAAAC